rnacentral:rRNA from 1 species
CGUGAACGCUGGCGGUAGGCCUAACACAUGCAAGUCGAACGGCAGCACAGUAAGAGCUUGCUCUUACGGGUGGCGAGUGGCGGACGGGUGAGGAAUACAUCGGAAUCUACUUUUUCGUGGGGGAUAACGUAGGGAAACUUACGCUAAUACCGCAUACGACCUACGGGUGAAAGCAGGGGAUCUUCGGACCUUGCGCGAUUGAAUGAGCCGAUGUCGGAUUAGCUAGUUGGCGGGGUAAAGGCCCACCAAGGCGACGAUCCGUAGCUGGUCUGAGAGGAUGAUCAGCCACACUGGAACUGAGACACGGUCCAGACUCCUACGGGAGGCAGCAGUGGGGAAUAUUGGACAAUGGGCGCAAGCCUGAUCCAGCCAUACCGCGUGGGUGAAGAAGGCCUUCGGGUUGUAAAGCCCUUUUGUUGGGAAAGAAAAGCAGCAGGUUAAUACCCCGCUGUUCUGACGGUACCCAAAGAAUAAGCACCGGCUAACUUCGU